rnacentral:lncRNA from 1 species
CUUUGAGCAAGAGGACAAACCUGGGUAGGGAUCUCUAUGAUGUUUUCUGCGUUGCCCGUGGACGUUCAUCUUUCUGAUUUGUUAGCUGAAGAUGAGGAUCUGGAGCAGGAGCUCGGAGUGCCAUUGUUCCAUGGGCAGAUGUGCAGCAGAGAUUAGCAUUAGGAAGACAAGCAGGGCCUUCAGUAGGCAUAAGGUGAUGAGGUUCAUGCCGUUGGAUCCCACGGGUGCCCUGGGGAAGAGAUGGUUGGGAAGUCUGAGAGGAAGCAGGAGAGCUUUCGGAGCACAUGGAUGCCGUCCAGAAUGGAGAUGGUUGUGGCUCGGAAGAAAAAGAAAUCACCCAGCUCGGAGUCAGGAUACAUUUGGAGGUCCAGGCCGCCGAGUUUGCUGGUGGGGAAGAUAGGCACCAGAAAGGAAAGAGGACAUCCAGGGCAAUUUCUUCUGCCCCCCAGCCAAUCCGUACAUUGUCCAGAGGCCAAGCCUACUGCUGUUAGAAAACAUAUUUAGAAAUCACUUGGUUCUUCCUUGCCUGAACAUCAUCUAUUUAGUUAGCUUGUGUUGUUUAGAUGUGCUUCAGAUCUCAAAAAAAUAAAUUAUGUUAUUUGAAA